UCCAAUGUGACACAGCGGUUUGAGAGUUAGACUACAACUCUAGGGACCAUGGUUCAAUUCCCCACUUGGUCA